GGGGGGGGGGGGGGGCUCGUUUGGUAGAAAACAGCGCUCCUUCAGCUCCUAGGUCCCUAGGUUUGUUUCUAGCGUCUCUUUUCAGCUCAGCCUUAGGUUUUCAUUUUUGUGUUUCUUUUACCCUUUUCAGAGAAAACGACUGAUGGGGGAAUUGGGGUCUAUUGGACUCCAUCGCCAGCCGGAAAUGGCGAAGAGAUUUAGGGCGACGGGUUUACAGAGAGAACUGGGUGAGGAAGUGAAGUGGAGAUCCUAGGUUAUUCUGAAAUGUUUGGACAAUUUUAAGUAAAAUGGGGA
rnacentral:lncRNA from 1 species